rnacentral:lncRNA from 1 species
GCAGAACUCACAGAUCUCUUGAUUCAACAGAACCACAUCGGGAGUGUGAUUAAGCAAACGGAUGUUUCAGAAGACAGCGAUGACGAUGUGGAUGAAGACGAGAUUUUUGGUUUCAUAAGUCUUUUAAAUUUAACUGAAACAAAGGUUGGUUUCAUUGGGUGGCCAUUAGAGUGGUUAUUCAUUAGGGCAGAACCUAAAAAGUUAAUUCUAUUUAAUCCUUGACGAAAGUGUGUUUUAUAUCAGAUAAAGAUACUAAAUAUAAGGACGUGCUCUUGUGAAAUCUUACUGUAAUCCUUUUUUCAAUAUAUUCUUGUUUCUCUGAAUAAUCUGUACCCAGUUAAAGUCAUUUACUGCCUGUGGUAUAGAGAAUUGUCCUCUGAGUUUUAAAGAAUGGGUUUUCUGAUGUUGGUGUGGACACAGCUGUUUUUGCUGUCUCUACAGCUGUUUUCUUUGAUUCUGAGUCUUCAUUGCUUCCUGAAAUUGAGGACACUCACAUGUAUUUGUAUUUUCAUUCAUAUAUUGACUCAUUGAUGGGUUCUAGUUAAAAAAAAAGAACCCAGGGGGUUUACCCUCCUUAGAAUAAGAUGCAGGCUACACUUUAAAUUUUAAGUGAACUUUUCAGAUACUUUCGUCUUAUGGGACGGACUAGAGUUUCUAUCCCAGUAUGUCUGAGUUAGUAUAACCUUCUCUGACCACUGAGUAUGGGCUAGUAAAUAGCCAGGUGUAGUUACUUUUGAAAAAUAAUCAACACAAUCAGACUUGUAAAGUGAAAGUCGCUCAGUCGUGUCCGACUCUUUGCAACCCUAUGGACUAUACAGUCCAUGGA